rnacentral:rRNA from 1 species
AAAGCUCAAAUUUAAAAUCUGGCGGUCCUUGUGGCUGUCCGAGUUGUAAUCUAGAGAAGUGCUAUCCGCGCUGGACCCGUGUACAAGUCUCCUGGAACGGAGCGUCAUAGAGGGUGAGAAUCCCGUCUUUGACACGGACUACCGGGGCUUAUGUGAUGCGCUCUCAAAGAGUCGAGUUGUUUGGGAUUGCAGCUCUAAAUGGGUGGUAAAUUCCAUCUAAAGCUAAAUAUUGGCGAGAGACCGAUAGCGAA